rnacentral:rRNA from 1 species
CCUACGGGAGGCUGCAGUGAGGAAUAUUGGUCAAUGGACGGAAGUCUGAACCAGCCAUGCCGCGUGCAGGAAGACGGCUCUAUGAGUUGUAAACUGCUUUUGUACGAGGGUAAACCUGAAUACGUGUAUUCGGCUGAAAGUACUGUACGAAUAAGGAUCGGCUAACUCCGUGCCAGCAGCCGCGGUAAUACGGAGGAUCCAAGCGUUAUCCGGAUUUAUUGGGUUUAAAGGGUGCGUAGGCGGACGGAUAAGUUAGAGGUGAAAUGUCGGAGCUCAACUCGGGAACUGCCUCUAAUACUGUUGAUCUAGAGAGUAGAUGCGGUAGGCGGAAUGUAUGGUGUAGCGGUGAAAUGCUUAGAGAUCAUACAGAACACCGAUUGCGAAGGCAGCUUACCAAUCUAUAUCUGACGUUGAGGCACGAAAGCGUGGGGAGCAAACAGGAUUAGAUACCCUGGUAGUC